AUUGAACGCUGGCGGUAGGCCUAACACAUGCAAGUCGAACGGCAGCACAGUAAUAGCUUGCUCUUACGGGUGGCGAGUGGCGGACGGUUGAGGAAUACAUCGGAAUCUACUUUUUCGUGGGGGAUAACGUAGGGAAACUUACGCUAAUACCGCAUACGACCUACGGGUGAAAGCAUGGGAUCUUCGGACCUUGCGCGAUUGAAUGAGCCGAUGUCGGAUUAGCUAGUUGGGGGGGUAAAGGCCCACCAAGGCGACGAUCCGUAGCUGGUCUGAGAGGAUGAUCAGCCACACUGGAACUGAGACACGGUCCAGACUCCUACGGGAGGCAGCAGUGGGGAAUAUUGGACAAUGGGCGCAAGCCUGAUCCAGCCAUACCGCGUGGGUGAAGAAGGCCUUCGGGUUGUAAAGCACUUUUGUUGGGAAAGAAAAGCAGCAGGUUAAUACCCCGCUGUUCUGACGGUACCCAAAGAAUAAGCACCGGCUAACUUCGUG
rnacentral:rRNA from 1 species